rnacentral:rRNA from 1 species
CCUACGGGUGGCAGCAGUAGGGAAUCUUCCGCAAUGGACGAAAGUCUGAUGGAGCAACGCCGCGUGGGUGAAGAAGGUCUUCGGAUCGUAAAACCCUGUUGUUAGAGAAGAAAGUGCGUGAGAGUAACUGUUCACGUUUCGACGGUAUCUAACCAGACAGCCACGGCUAACUACGUUCCAGCAGCCGCGGUAAUACUUAGGUGGCAAGCGUUAUCCGGAUUUUUUGGGCGUAAAGGGAACGAAGGCGGUCUUUUAAGUCUGAUGUGAAAGCCUUCGGCUUAACCGGAGGAGUGCGUUGGAAACUGGGAGACUGGAGUGCAGAAGAGGAGAGUGGAAUUCCAUGUGUAGCGGUGAAAUGCGUAGAUAUAUGGAAGAACACCAGUGGCGAAAGCGGCUCUCUGGUCUGUAACUGACGCUGAGGUUCGAAAGCGUGGGUAGCAAACAGGAUUAGAUACCCUUGUAGUC